rnacentral:rRNA from 1 species
UUGACCUCAGAUCAGGCCAGCAUUACCC